rnacentral:rRNA from 1 species
AGAGUUUGAUCAUGGCUCAGGACGAACGCUGGCGGCGUGCUUAACACAUGCAAGUCGAACGGUAAGGCCCUUCGGGGUACACGAGUGGCGAACGGGUGGGUAACACGUGGGUAAUCUGCCCUGCACAUCGGGAUAAGCCUGGGAAACUGGGUCUAAUACCGAAUAGGACCACAGGACACAUGUCCUGUGGUGGAAAGCUUUUGCGGUGUGGGAUGGGCCCGCGGCCUAUCAGCUUGUUGGUGGGGUGAUGGCCUACCAAGGCGACGACGGGUAGCCGGCCUGAGAGGGUGUCCGGCCACACUGGGACUGAGAUACGGCCCAGACUCCUACGGGAGGCAGCAGUGGGGAAUAUUGCACAAUGGGCGAAAGCCUGAUGCAGCGACGCCGCGUGGGGGAUGACGGCCUUCGGGUUGUAAACCUCUUUCACCAUCGACGAAGGUCCGGGUUUUCUCGGGCUGACGGUAGGUGGAGAAGAAGCACCGGCCAACUACGUGCCAGCAGCCGCGGUAAUACGUAGGGUGCGAGCGUUGUCCGGAAUUACUGGGCGUAAAGAGCUCGUAGGUGGUUUGUCGCGUUGUUCGUGAAAUCUCACGGCUUAACUGUGAGCGUGCGGGCGAUACGGGCAGACUUGAGUACUGCAGGGGAGACUGGAAUUCCUGGUGUAGCGGUGGAAUGCGCAGAUAUCAGGAGGAACACCGGUGGCGAAGGCGGGUCUCUGGGCAGUAACUGACGCUGAGGAGCGAAAGCGUGGGGAGCGAACAGGAUUAGAUACCCUGGUAGUCCAA